rnacentral:rRNA from 1 species
UGUAAGCGUAUACCAAAGUUGUUGCAGUUAAAACGCUCGUAGUCGGAAUUUGGUAGUUCCGGAUGUGUGCACGUCGUGUGCGCACUUCGCGGGGAUUGCUUUUGUGGUCUUGCGUAGGAUGAGGCACUUUUAUUAGUGAACGUCCUCACGCAACCACUUUUUACUGUGAGAAAAUCAGAGUGCUCAAAGCAGGCAUUUGCCGUGAAUGUAUUAGCAUGGAAUAAUAGAAUAGGACUUGGUUCUAUUUUGUUGGUUUGUUGGGACUGAGUAAUGAUUAAGAGGGACAGUUGGGGGCAUUUGUAUUUCGGUGCUAGAGGUGAAAUUCUUAGAUUACCGAAAGACAAACUGCUGCGAAAGCGUCUGCCAAGGAUGUUUUCAUUGA